UACAGAGGUCUCAAGCGUUGUUCGGAUUCAUUGGGCGUAAAGGGUGCGCAGGCGGCGUGGUAAGUUGAGUGUGAAAUCCCGGGGCUCAACCCCGGAACUGCACUCAAUACUGCCAUGCUCGAGGAAUGUAGAGGAGAGUGGAAUUCACGGUGUAGCAGUGAAAUGCGUAGAGAUCUGGAGGAACACCGAUGGCGAAGGCAGCCUUCUGGGCCAACACUGACGCUCAUGCACGAAAGCGUGGGGAGCAAACAGG
rnacentral:rRNA from 1 species